rnacentral:rRNA from 1 species
UACGGAGGGGGCUAGCGUUGUUCGGAAUUACUGGGCGUAAAGCGCACGUAGGCGGCUUUGUAAGUUAGAGGUGAAAGCCUGAUGCUCAACAUCAGAAUUGCCUUUAAGACUGCAUCGCUUGAACGUCGGAGAGGUGAGUGGAAUUCCGAGUGUAGAGGUGAAAUUCGUAGAUAUUCGGAAGAACACCAGUGGCGAAGGCGGCUCACUGGACGACUGUUGACGCUGAGGUGCGAAAGCGUGG